rnacentral:rRNA from 1 species
GACGAACGCUAGCGGUGUGCUUAACACAUGCAAGUCGAACGGAAAGGCCCUGCUUUUGUGGGGUGCUCGAGUGGCGAACGGGUGAGUAACACGUGGGUAACCUGCCCUUGACUUUGGGAUAACUUCAGGAAACUGGGGCUAAUACCGGAUAGGAGCUCCUGCUGCAUGGUGGGGGUUGGAAAGUUUCGGCGGUUGGGGAUGGACUCGCGGCUUAUCAGCUUGUUGGUGGGGUAGUGGCUUACCGAGGCUUUGACGGGUAGCCGGCCUGAGAGGGUGACCGGCCACAUUGGGACUGAGAUACGGCCCAGACUCCUACGGGAGGCAGCAGUGGGGAAUAUUGCACAAUGGGCGGAAGCCUGAUGCAGCAACGCCGCGUGCGGGAUGACGGCCUUCGGGUUGUAAACCGCUUUCGCCUGUGACGAAGCGUGAGUGACGGUAAUGGGUAAAGAAGCACCGGCUAACUACGUG